CAAAGGCAGAAAUCUCCUCUAUCUAGUUUAUAAAUGCAUGCAUGUGAUGUGAGUCAGCCUAUUUCUCUCUCUGGAGGAACCUUAUCACAUUGGAUUCUUCCGCCAUGGAUUCUUCCUCCAUGGUUCAUAUUAUCAGUUGGUAUCCACCAUCCAAUCAAAGGCAUCCGCAGAACAAACCGUGAGACCUAUGCGUGAUGUUGGACCACUUCUUCCUUUUCAAGCACUGGUGCAUGAGACUGAAGUUGCUGAGAAUGCGUCUUGCAAAGAAGAUGAAGAAGGUAGGAUAAGUGAUGCGGAAUGGAGGCGCCUUGACAGAAUUGCGAGAAUGGAGAAGAAGGCAGAAGAAAAGAAAGAAAAAGAAGAAAAAGAAAAACUUGAGGCAGCCAAGUCUAAGGAUGAGAGCUCAGGGAGUGGAGAGGGAAGUAAGAAUAAGUAGAAAGGCAUGAAUGUUUUGUGUGUAAUAAUUUCUUCACUUGUUGGGGUAGUCUUGUUUCUCUUCUGUGUUUUAUUUCCAACAAGUGUGAUGAAUUUGAACAAUUAAUGUCUUGUAUUAUCGUAGUGUGUGUUUAAUUAUGUUAUAAUAAGAAUGGUGUGUUGGUUCUCUA